GGAGGGGGAUUGGCUUGGUUGCCUUGUCGGGUUUCAUGCAGAACUAUAGAGGCAUUUGGAAUUGGGCGUGGGAUUUGAUUGGGAUCAACUUUUGAUGGGCUGGUAUGACCAAUAGAAGGUGUUAUCGAAGCCACUGCCUGAUUUGUAGAGGCAUUUGGAAUUGGGCGCGGGAUUUGAUUGGGAUCAACUUUUGAUGGGCUGGUAUGACCAAUAGAAGGUGUUAUCGAAGCCACUGCCUGAUUUGGAAGAGGAGGCGUCAUUCCGUACAUACUUGGUGGUUGCAUCGAACCAGGAAUAGCAGAAAGUGGAGGCCCCUGUCAAUAAGUAAACUCAGAAUAUGUACUUCACAUGAAAGUGGAAAUACAAUAAAAGCAAACUGAAACCAAUCUACUUGAUCCAAAAUAUCCCCAGAAUUUUAGAAUUUCAUUAGAAAACAAAGGAAAAAACACUUCUUAUCAAAAAUAAAAAAAUAAAGAAAAGUACCAGGUACUUUAGGGUGUUCUUAGAUUAAAUGUAUUAGAAAACAAAGGAAAAACACUUCUUACCAAAACAAACUAAAGAAAACACUAUAUUGGAAAAAUGCCAUGUACUUUAGGGUGUUUUUGAAUUAAAUGUAAAUUUUUUGUGAGGUUGCUAUACCUCUUCUUCUAAUUACGAAGGGAUAGCUAGGUUGUUGUAGCUUCAGUUGUGAAAGACAGUUUCCUUUUCAGAUGGUCCAGCCAAACUUAAGCAAACUUGUAUACUUAAGAUUUUAUUUUUAUUUUUGAUAAAUACUUAUAUACUUAAUAUUAAGACAAUGAUUAUGUAAAUAGUGGCACAUUAAGUAACAAAUUCAUAGAAGGAUUUCAUUAUUUACGCUUUGAAUUAUUUUAGACAAAUAAGCAAAUGAUACUCAAAAGAAAUUUUUAACAAUUUUCAAGAACGUUUGUAUCCCAAGCAAAGAUAUAAAAGCUUAUAAAUAAAAACAAAUCCUAUUUAUAGAGUAAAAAUAAAUAAACAAUAAUAAAAAAUAUUAUUUAAUAGCUUCGAAUAAUGAAAGAAUUCCAUACAACAUGUUAAAAGUUAAAAGAUAAAGUAUCUCACAUAGGUAAUUUUAUUAAUAGCGGAAAAGAUAAAAAGAAAAUUUAUAAUGCACAGACAACAACAAAAAAAACCAGUGUAAUCCUAUAAGUGGGAUCUGGAGAUGGUAGUGUGUACACGGACCUCGCCCCUACCUUGAAAAGAUAGAGAGGUUGUUUCCGAUUGACAUUCGGCUCAAGGAAAGAUGAAAAAUGAAGCAAUGGCAACAUAAUGCACAUAAUACUAAAAUGAGAAUUAUUUAAAAUAGUGGUACAUGUUAUUACAAAUUCAUAAAAGGACUUCUCUAAUUAUCUUUGAAUGAAUUAGAAAUCACAAGUUCCUGGAUAUUAUUGAUUCUUUCUAUCCUACAGUCAUGAAGCAUCUCUUUAACGCUAGAUUUUGAUGAUUACUAAAGAUCAUUAAACGCGUAGAAUUUGAUUAUUGACACAUCUCGUGUGACUUGUUGAUCCAAAAACUUCUGUCCAGAUAAAGAAAUAUAUAUCCUAUGACUUCCUUAUUUUGUAGUCUAUCAUAGGCAAGAACUAAACAUAUCACUCAGCUUCAAAGAUCACAUAAAAUAAAUUAUACUCGGCUAAUGAGUUUAGUGGAAAUUCUUAACACCGUGCAUCUGAAGAAAACUCUUAUUUUUGUCCCUCCAAUAGCAUAUUCACAUGACUCUAUCAUACCUUCAUUUAUGGAAAAAUACAUAAAUUUCACCUUUCAAAACAAGUACAGUAAGAUACGCAUAUAAAAUCACCUGAUGGGGUGGCAUUUGCCACGACUGUGUUCCAUAAGGGGCACCCAUGGAUGGAGGCAUGCCUUGACCAGGUGCUGCAAAUGGAGAGGAACCCGGAGGUGGCACAUUCUGCAAUGAUCCCGAAAAUGGUGCUGGCGGUUGUGUUGUAACUGGUGUUGUGCUGACAGAUGAUGGACCGCCAAAGGGUGAGCGCAUGCUCGGAGGCUGAGAAGGAGAGCCAGAUGAAACCAUAGCUGGUGGAGAAGCUCCAAAUGGUGGCCUCGUUGUAUUGCUUGGAGGAGGAAAACGUCCUCCACCCUGCAUCAUUCCCGGCCCACCUGCAGGUGGCCCAUUACUAACCGAACUAGAAAUGCUUGAUGGUGGCGGCACAGCUGAACCCGUUGUCAAUGGCAAAGAAGCAAAAGGACCCGGAGGCCCUGGACGAGGACCUAAUGCAGACGGCAGGGUUGUACCACCAAUAGAAGGAGGCAUUGCACCAGGAGGAGGUGGCCGAGAUGCAAAGGGAGGAGCAGAUUGAGCCACAUGAGGAGGGCCAGUUGGUCUAGAAGCUACAUUAGGAGGCAACCCAAUGUGUGGAGGACCGCCACUAGGACCUCUCGGAAACACACCAGGUGGUGGAGGUCCUGGACGACUAACGGCUGCUCCACCAGCAAAAGGUGGCUGCUGCUGCCCAAAUGGUGUAUAAUUAGGCCUAGGAGCACUAGGUGGUUGCUGCCCAAAUGGGUUAUUAGGCCUCGGAGCACUAGGUGACUGGUUAGGUCUAUUUAGUUGUAGAUUUUGCAUACCAUCAGCAAGUGCAUUAGGGUUAUAGUUGGGCGGUGGUCUAUUCCCUGGUCUAGGUACCCCUGGAGCCGCCAUUGAUUAUUCCCAAAUUUCCCACCUACACAAAUUGCAAUUCAACUAAGUCCCACAAUCACCUGAUCUCAUACACAGAAAUGAGACAGAUAAUAAACAUAUAAAUAGAGCAUUAAAGAACUGGUGAAACAUACAAAAAUUACGAGGCUAUAAAUAAUUAAAAUAGGGAUAAUAACACUUUUGGUCCCUCAAUUAUUGGUAAAUCUAAUUUUGAUCCUUAUGAUAUAUGACUAAUCACAUUUAACCAUCAACUAAUUAAAAUGUGUGUUUAUGUCUUUUUAUAUAUAGGGAAAAUGUUACUUUUAAACUUUUUCAUAACUUUAUUACUCUCAUAUAUGAAGUAACAGUACAAAUUUAACAGAACACAUUGAUAAUAAAUGAUAUAAUGGUUAAUAAUUCAUUAGAAUUAUGUAAAUUUACAGACGGGAUCAAAGUACACAUUUUAAUGAAUUGAAUGUCAAAAGUGCUUAGCAAGAGCAAGAUAUCACAAGGAUCAAAAUCAGAAUUUGUUGAUAUUUGAGGGACUAAAAGCGCGAAUUCCCCAAAAAAUAUUUUUUUUUUAAAAAUCUCACCAGCUGAGAAGUUAAUGGAACUGAAGGACGUCGACGCCGGUAGCAAGGAAACGGCGUCGUCCGUUAUGAACUGAGAAUGAAUUCGCCGAAACCUUUGCCGUUACAAGUGAAAUCGGUUUUCAAUGAUUCGACUGAUUUCGAUCUGAACCAAAAACAAUACCAAUUAGAUUAAUAAAAAAUUAGAUCUUUAAAAGAAAAUCUAAGUCCGAAAUCAAACAAAUCAAAUAAUUGAAUACAUUCACAUAAACAUAGCAUAAAACUAUCAUUUUCACAUCGGAAAGAAAUGUUAAACCUGAAGAUCUAGGGGAAGAAGAUAGCAUGUGACAAGACAGAGAAAAGGAGGGGGAGUGGGUGGGUUUAUAGAUCAGAAUUUGGCGACGAUUUCACAGAGAUCGGAAGAUUAUUCAAUGGGGAAGAAGGUCAUUUAGAUGUAUGUGUAAAUAUUUUAGUCUGCCUGUGUAAAUAAAGAUUUUCUCAAUUUCCAC
rnacentral:lncRNA from 1 species